rnacentral:rRNA from 1 species
AUCGAACGCUGGCGGCAGGCCUAACACAUGCAAGUCGAGCGAGCGGCGGACGGGUGAGUAAUGUCUGGGAAACUGCCUGAUGGAGGGGGAUAACUACUGGAAACGGUAGCUAAUACCGCAUACCAUCAGAUGUUCCCAGAUGGGAUAAGCUAGUGGGUGGGGUAAUGGCUCACCUAGGCGACGAUCCCUAGCUGGUUGGAGAGGAUGACCAGCAACAUUGGAACUGAGAAACGGUCCAGACUCCUAGGGGAGGCAGCAGUGGGGAAUAUUGCACAAUGGGCGCAAGCCUGAUGCAGAAAGGCCGCGUGUGUGAAGAAGGCCUUCGGGUUGUAAAGCACUUUCAGCGGGGAGGCGUUACCCGCAGAAGAAGCCCCGGCUAACUCCGUGCCAGCAGCCGCGGUAAUUC